rnacentral:rRNA from 1 species
GACGAACGCUGGCGGCGUGCUUAACACAUGCAAGUCGAGCGAUGAAGCUUUCUUCGGAAAGUGGAUUAGCGGCGGACGGGUGAGUAACACGUGGGUAACCUGCCUCAUAGAGGGGAAUAGCCUUUCGAAAGGAAGAUUAAUACCGCAUAAGAUUGUAAUAUCGCAUGGUAUAGCAAUUAAAGGAGUAAUCCGCUAUGAGAUGGACCCGCGUCGCAUUAGCUAGUUGGUGAGGUAACGGCUCACCAAGGCGACGAUGCGUAGCCGACCCGAGAGGGUGAUCGGCCACAUUGGGACUGAGACACGGCCCAGACUCCUACGGGAGGCAGCAGUGGGGAAUAUUGCACAAUGGGGGAAACCCUGAUGCAGCAACGCCGCGUGAGUGAUGACGGUCUUCGGAUUGUAAAGCUCUGUCUUUAGGGACGAUAAUGACGGUACCUAAGGAGGAAGCCACGGCUAACUACGUGCCAGCCGCCGCAGUAACAC